rnacentral:rRNA from 1 species
AAUAUUGCACAAUGGAGGAAACUCUGAUGCAGCGACGCCGCGUGAACGAUGAAGGCCUUCGGGUCGUAAAGUACUGUUCUGGGGGACGAUAAUGACGGUACCCCAGGAGGAAGCCCCGGCUAACUACGUGCAAGCAGCCGCGGUAAUACGUAGGGGGCGAGCGUUGUCCGGAAUUAUUGGGCGUAAAGGGUUCGGAGGCGGUUUUUUAAGUCAGAUGUGAAAGGUCACGGCUCAACCGUGGUAAGCAUUUGAAACUGAAAGACUUGAGUUAAGGAGAGGAAAGUGGAAUACCUAGUGUAGCGGUGAAAUGCGUAGAUAUUAGGAGGAACACCAGUGGCGAAGGCGACUACCUGGACGAAAACUGACGCUGAGGCACGAAAGCUAGGGUAGCAAACAG